rnacentral:tRNA from 1 species
AGGAGUAAAGUUUAAUAAGGAAAGCGUUUCACUUACAUUGAAAAGAUUACUGUGCGAGUCAGUAUACUCUAA